UACGUAGGGUGCGAGCGUUAAUCGGAAUUACUGGGCGUAAAGCGUGCGCAGGCGGCGCGUUAAGACAGGUGUGAAAGCCCCGAGCUUAACUUGGGGAUUGCGCUUGUGACUGGCGUGCUGGAGUGUGGCAGAGGGAGGUGGAAUUCCACGUGUAGCAGUGAAAUGCGUAGAGAUGUGGAGGAACACCGACGGCGAAGGCAGCCUCCUGGGCCAGCACUGACGCUCAUGCACGAAAGCGUGGGGAGCAAACAGG
rnacentral:rRNA from 1 species